rnacentral:lncRNA from 1 species
UUUGUCAUGGUUUUUCUCAUUUCUUACUUCAAAGGGAAAUGAUGAUCAAGUUUUCCUAAUUAACUAGCAAACUAGGAGAAAAAUGAAUUUGGGGAAGUGGAAGUGAUGGAAGAGGAGGAGGAAAUGUUAAUUCAUUCAUUCGUCAUUGCCAAUCUUAUCAUUAGCUUACUGCCUCAAUGAAGAAGAUGAGGCUGAGGUUGAAAACCUACACACUGCUCGUGAGUUUUUCUCUUAAACUUCAUAUUAUAUCAUUUAAUUAAAGUUUGUUCAUCUUUCUAUUGAUGCAUAAAUUUGGUUCAACAAAAGAUGAUAUUUUUGAGAUCGAGGUCUGAUAAUUCUUCCUGACUAAAUCAAUGUAACUAACCAAGUCGUCCUCUAAAACCUGCAAAACAAAAAAAGCUAACGAUAGGUGACACGAUGUGGUGCCGGUCAAGGACCCUCUGAUGCUUAAGUCAGUCGAUUGUUUGAGAGUAAAUUGCACAAUAGUUUCUGAUGCUUAGAAUUGCAUACCUUUGAUGAUGGGUCUUUUCAGCCUUUUUAUAUCAUCCCAAACCACCUAGUCCUUCUCGGAGUAGAACUCCAUAACAACCUAGCCCUCCUUGAACUAGGAAUCCAUAACAACCUAGUCCUCCUUGGACUAUGACUCCAUUUAGAUAGGCGUAUUGGUGAUCUCG